AUAUCAAAGAACCCCAUAUAUUCAAUUUUUGUUGAAAUCAAACAAAGUUUAAUUUUGGACCCCAAUUUGGACCAACUUAAAAACUGGGCCCAUAAUCAACCAGAUGCUCUGCAGGGCACAGCUUUAUACGACCGCAGAGGUUGAACCCUGAACGGUUGGGGCAAGUAUGGACACAACAUUCAAGCUGGAUACAGCUCUAAAUUUGGAUUGUGAUUAAAUAGUUGACACAGCAUAGGUUUCUGACACAGAAUGAAUGUGGUCUAAUGAACUUAAAAAUUUUUUUUUGCCUUUGAGCAAUUCACUUUGCUGUUGAAUAUAAAUCCUCUCAAAAAAAUGUUUGAAGAAAUUUUCUUUUUAUUUAUGAAAUCUGAAAUGAGAAAUAUUUAACCCCCAACCCCCCAUUUUUUUUUCACAUCCCCCUUUCCCUUUUUCCAAAACUGAUCUCAAUUCAAAUUUCUAAUGGAGUUUGCAACAAUAACUACUCAUUUAAAUACAUCAUAAAAUAUUAAAAUGUAACAAAAGGUGCUUGUUAUCACUGAAUGGUAAAGAUUGUUUUAAUUUAUCAGUUGGUAGUAAAAGUGAAUAUACAUUGUAUAUUGUAUAAAACAAUGAUUUAAGUUGACUCAACUACUA
rnacentral:lncRNA from 1 species